rnacentral:rRNA from 2 species
GCAAGUCGAACGAGUUCUCGUUGAUGAUCGGUGCUUGCACCGAGAUUCAACAUGGAACGAGUGGCGGACGGGUGAGUAACACGUGGGUAACCUGCCCUUAAGUGGGGGAUAACAUUUGGAAACAGAUGCUAAUACCGCAUAGAUCCAAGAACCGCAUGGUUCUUGGCUGAAAGAUGGCGUAAGCUAUCGCUUUGGAUGGACCCGCGGCGUAUUAGCUAGUUGGUGAGGUAAUGGCUCACCAAGGCGAUGAUACGUAGCCGAACUGAGAGGUUGAUCGGCCACAUUGGGACUGAGACACGGCCCAAACUCCUACGGGAGGCAGCAGUAGGGAAUCUUCCACAAUGGACGCAAGUCUGAUGGAGCAACGCCGCGUGAGUGAAGAAGGCUUUCGGGUCGUAAAACUCUGUUGUUGGAGAAGAAUGGUCGGCAGAGUAACUGUUGUCGGCGUGACGGUAUCCAACCAGAAAGCCACGGCUAACUACGUGCCAGCAGCCGCGGUAAUACGUAGGUGGCAAGCGUUAUCCGGAUUUAUUGGGCGUAAAGCGAGCGCAGGCGGUUUUUUAAGUCUGAUGUGAAAGCCCUCGGCUUAACCGAGGAAGCGCAUCGGAAACUGGGAAACUUGAGUGCAGAAGAGGACAGUGGAACUCCAUGUGUAGCGGUGAAAUGCGUAGAUAUAUGGAAGAACACCAGUGGCGAAGGCGGCUGUCUGGUCUGUAACUGACGCUGAGGCUCGAAAGCAUGGGUAGCGAACAGGAUUAGAUACCCUGGUAGUCCAUGCCGUAAACGAUGAAUGCUAGGUGUUGGAGGGUUUCCGCUCUUCAGUGCCGCAGCUAACGCAUUAAGCAUUCCGCCUGGGGAGUACGACCGCAAGGUUGAAACUCAAAGGAAUUGACGGGGGCCCGCACAAGCGGUGGAGCAUGUGGUUUAAUUCGAAGCAACGCGAAGAACCUUACCAGGUCUUGACAUCUUUUGAUCACCUGAGAGAUCAGGUUUCCCCUUCGGGGGCAAAAUGACAGGUGGUGCAUGGUUGUCGUCAGCUCGUGUCGUGAGAUGUUGGGUUAAGUCCCGCAACGAGCGCAACCCUUAUGACUAGUUGCCAGCAUUUAGUUGGGCACUCUAGUAAGACUGCCGGUGACAAACCGGAGGAAGGUGGGGAUGACGUCAAAUCAUCAUGCCCCUUAUGACCUGGGCUACACACGUGCUACAAUGGAUGGUACAACGAGUUGCGAGACCGCGAGGUCAAGCUAAUCUCUUAAAGCCAUUCUCAGUUCGGACUGUAGGCUGCAACUCGCCUACACGAAGUCGGAAUCGCUAGUAAUCGCGGAUCAGCACGCCGCGGUGAAUACGUUCCCGGGCCUUGUACACACCGCCCGUCACACCAUGAGAGUUUGUAACACCCGAAGCCGGUGGCGUAACCCUUUAGGGAGCGAGCCGUCUAAGGUGGGACAAAUGAUAGGGUGAAGU